rnacentral:rRNA from 2 species
GACGAACGCUGGCGGCGUGCCUAAUACAUGCAAGUCGAACGAACUCUGGUAUUGAUUGGUGCUUGCAUCAUGAUUUACAUUUGAGUGAGUGGCGAACUGGUGAGUAACACGUGGGAAACCUGCCCAGAAGCGGGGGAUAACACCUGGAAACAGAUGCUAAUACCGCAUAACAACUUGGACCGCAUGGUCCGAGUUUGAAAGAUGGCUUCGGCUAUCACUUUUGGAUGGUCCCGCGGCGUAUUAGCUAGAUGGUGGGGUAACGGCUCACCAUGGCAAUGAUACGUAGCCGACCUGAGAGGGUAAUCGGCCACAUUGGGACUGAGACACGGCCCAAACUCCUACGGGAGGCAGCAGUAGGGAAUCUUCCACAAUGGACGAAAGUCUGAUGGAGCAACGCCGCGUGAGUGAAGAAGGGUUUCGGCUCGUAAAACUCUGUUGUUAAAGAAGAACAUAUCUGAGAGUAACUGUUCAGGUAUUGACGGUAUUUAACCAGAAAGCCACGGCUAACUACGUGCCAGCAGCCGCGGUAAUACGUAGGUGGCAAGCGUUGUCCGGAUUUAUUGGGCGUAAAGCGAGCGCAGGCGGUUUUUUAAGUCUGAUGUGAAAGCCUUCGGCUCAACCGAAGAAGUGCAUCGGAAACUGGGAAACUUGAGUGCAGAAGAGGACAGUGGAACUCCAUGUGUAGCGGUGAAAUGCGUAGAUAUAUGGAAGAACACCAGUGGCGAAGGCGGCUGUCUGGUCUGUAACUGACGCUGAGGCUCGAAAGUAUGGGUAGCAAACAGGAUUAGAUACCCUGGUAGUCCAUACCGUAAACGAUGAAUGCUAAGUGUUGGAGGGUUUCCGCCCUUCAGUGCUGCAGCUAACGCAUUAAGCAUUCCGCCUGGGGAGUACGGCCGCAAGGCUGAAACUCAAAGGAAUUGACGGGGGCCCGCACAAGCGGUGGAGCAUGUGGUUUAAUUCGAAGCUACGCGAAGAACCUUACCAGGUCUUGACAUACUAUGCAAAUCUAAGAGAUUAGACGUUCCCUUCGGGGACAUGGAUACAGGUGGUGCAUGGUUGUCGUCAGCUCGUGUCGUGAGAUGUUGGGUUAAGUCCCGCAACGAGCGCAACCCUUAUUAUCAGUUGCCAGCAUUAAGUUGGGCACUCUGGUGAGACUGCCGGUGACAAACCGGAGGAAGGUGGGGAUGACGUCAAAUCAUCAUGCCCCUUAUGACCUGGGCUACACACGUGCUACAAUGGAUGGUACAACGAGUUGCGAACUCGCGAGAGUAAGCUAAUCUCUUAAAGCCAUUCUCAGUUCGGAUUGUAGGCUGCAACUCGCCUACAUGAAGUCGGAAUCGCUAGUAAUCGCGGAUCAGCAUGCCGCGGGUGAAUACGUUCCCGGGCCUUGUACACACCGCCCGUCACACCAUGAGAGUUUGUAACACCCAAAGUC